GGUGUUUUUUGCAACACAUUUAGAGAUUUUGAUUGGGCAAACCUGCAAAGGAAGUUAUAAAUAAUUUAUUACAAGUUGGAGCCUAAGAAUUGGGUUAGUCAAGAGGGAGGCUUAAAUUAUGUUCCAGCUGGACUGAGAUGGUCCAUCAUUCAGAAGUGCAAAGUAUAUGCUCCACCAUGCACCUUUUUAUGAAGAACGGAAUACAAAGAAGGCAGCAAGGAGAGUGGUGUAUAGUUCCCGCCUCCAUCUUUUGGGCAGUGGAGGCUCAAGGGCGAUGUGGCCACUGUAUCUGCAAGUUGCAAUUCUUUUUCACCUGACUAGAAAGAAGGGGAAGUAGUUCCAUGCAUGGUCAAUGACUUUGGGCUAUAUGUGGAAAAGGUAUUUUCAUAGGAUGAUUUGCUGGUUCUCCAUAUCCAGGUUUUUUCCUGUGUAAAUGCUUAUGUGGAUCCUCCUUUCUCCCUUUAUAGGUGCCCAUCCAUCUUGGUGCUGCUGCAUGCUCCUUUCUAUCCAGGCCUCUUG